rnacentral:rRNA from 1 species
UACGUAGGGUGCAAGCGUUGUCCGGAAUUAUUGGGCGUAAAGAGCUCGUAGGCGGUUUGUCGCGUCUGCUGUGAAAACUCGGGGCUUAACUCCGGGCCUGCAGUGGGUACGGGCAGACUAGAGUGCGGUAGGGGAGACUGGAAUUCCUGGUGUAGCGGUGAAAUGCGCAGAUAUCAGGAGGAACACCGGUGGCGAAGGCAAUCCCCUGGGCCUGUACUGACGCUCAUGCACGAAAGCGUGGGGAGCAAACAGG